ACGGAGAGUUUGAUCCUGGCUCAGGACGAACGCUGGCGGCGUGCUUAACACAUGCAAGUCGAACGAACUCUUCGGAGUUAGUGGCAGACGGGUGAGUAACGCGUGGGAACCUACCUUUAGGUACGGAACAACAGUUGGAAACGACUGCUAAUACCGUAUGUGCCCUAUGGGGGAAAGAUUUAUCGCCUAAGGAUGGGCCCGCGUUGGAUUAGCUAGUUGGUGGGGUAAAGGCCUACCAAGGCGACGAUCUCUAGCUGGUCUGAGAGGAUGAUCAGCCACACUGGAACUGAGACACGGUCCAGACUCCUACGGGAGGCAGCAGUGGGGAAUAUUGCGCAAUGGGGGAAACCCUGACGCAGCAACGCCGCGUGAGUGAGGAAGGCCCUCGGGUCGUAAAGCUCUGUCAGAAGGGAAGAAAGUGCAUUGGUCUAAUAGGCCAUUGUAUUGACGGUACCUUCAAAGGAAGCACCGGCUAACUUCGUGCCAGCAGCCGCGGUAAUACGAAGGGUGCAAGCGUUAUUCGGAUUUACUGGGCGUAAAGCGCGCGCAGGCGGAUUGGUAAGUCAGAUGUGAAAUCUCGGGGCUCAACCCCGAAACUGCGUCUGAAACUAUCAAUCUAGAGUUAUGGAGGGGGAAGUGGAAUUUCGCAUGUAGGGGUAAAAUCCGUAGAGAUGCGAAGGAACACCAGAGGCGAAGGCGACUUCCUGGCCAUUAACUGACGCUGAGGCGCGAAAGCGUGGGGAGCAAACAGGAUUAGAUACCCU
rnacentral:rRNA from 18 species